GGUUCCAUAGUGUCGCAGUUAUUAGGACAUCUGCUUUACACACAGAAGAUCCUGGGUUCGCACCCCAGUGGAGCCA
rnacentral:tRNA from 1 species